rnacentral:rRNA from 1 species
AUUGAACGCUGGCGGCAGGCCUAACACAUGCAAGUCGAGCGGAUGAAGGGAGCUUGCUCCCGGAUUCAGCGGCGGACGGGUGAGUAAUGCCUAGGAAUCUGCCUGGUAGUGGGGGAUAACGUCCGGAAACGGGCGCUAAUACCGCAUACGUCCUGAGGGAGAAAGUGGGGGAUCUUCGGACCUCACGCUAUCAGAUGAGCCUAGGUCGGAUUAGCUAGUUGGUGGGGUAAAGGCCUACCAAGGCGACGAUCCGUAACUGGUCUGAGAGGAUGAUCAGUCACACUGGAACUGAGACACGGUCCAGACUCCUACGGGAGGCAGCAGUGGGGAAUAUUGGACAAUGGGCGAAAGCCUGAUCCAGCCAUGCCGCGUGUGUGAAGAAGGUCUUCGGAUUGUAAAGCACUUUAAGUUGGGAGGAAGGGCAGUAAGUUAAUACCUUGCUGUUUUGACGUUACCAACAGAAUAAGCACCGGCUAACUUCG